GCCCUGCUGGCCUAGUGGUUAAGACUCGGCACUCUCACUGCCGCAGCCUGGGUUCAUUUCCUAGUCAGGGAA
rfam:Equus caballus chromosome 18, whole genome shotgun sequence.